UCAAUGGAUCAGAUUGUCCCAUCUAAACUUCAACGGUUGAGAUUUCUUCAUUUCCCACCCACUCUUUGUAAAUCGAAGAAAAUCUCUCUCUCUCUCUCUCUCUCUCUAUACCUCCAUCAGAGCCCAUCCUGUGUGGGAUACUCAACCAUAAUCCCUAUUCGUUUCUUCUUCCUCCCUCACUCUGAUUCAGUCAAUACUCUUUCAUUCUCUCUCUCCAAUUCGUUUCUUCUUUCUCUUUUCCUUCCUCCCCCUUUCUGCCAUCUCAAUCUUCAUCAACAGUGGCAGGCCAAACUCCAUAUUCCACCACAAUCGACACAACCUUUUCAGCCCAUAGGAGAGAUUUCGAAAGGAGCCAUUGCAAAAGGGAAGAUUUCGUUGGACCACCACCGUCUCUAGAGAGAUCGAUACUCCGUCGUUGUCAAUAUUCAAAGAGAUCCCAAACAGGCACAUUAUGAGCUUGAAUGCCAAUUCAUAUAGAGUUCUCUUCCAUUAUAAUGGACAUGGUACCAAAAUCAACUGUUAAUGGUGAAAUUUGGGUAUUCAAUAAGUCUGGAAUCAAUACAUUUUGGUACCAAUCGGUGGUAGUAGAUUGGCUUAGAGUGAUGCCUACUUGGUACUCAACCACUGUCAAUCUUCAACUAGACUCCGAAAAGGUAUUUUACUUUGAUUGUUUGUUAGAUUGCACUCUCACACUCAAAUUUUAGUUGGUUUUGCUGAAAGGAAAGCAUUAGUUACAAUAAUUGAGAGGACCCAUGGCGGAAAUGGACCCAUGGUAAUCGGGUCCCCGAUUGAUACAUUGUUAAGCUUACUCAUUUUCGUUGUUAUUUUUUCUCAUUUGACAAUGCCAUUGUCUAUUAAAAAGAGAAACCAUUGUGUGAUAGUGUAUGUGUGCAGACAAGUGGAGUGAGAUCAACCGAUGACGCUAAGCUAAGAUAAGUUCUAUAGUAAUUUCUAUUUUUGUUUCCUUUUUUUUUCAACUCUCCAUUUCCAACCAUACGCACUAUCAAUCUAAUUUGUCAUUACAUAUAUAAAUGAGGGAUUUUAAUCUCUAAUUUGAUCAUUUUAUUUCAUGUGAUGUUUGUUAUUUCUUUAUGAUUUUGGGGUUCUCAUGUAGAGAGUUGUACUAAAUAUAAUAUUUAUGCUGCCAAUUGGCAGCUUGACAAUAGGACGGAGUCAGUUGCUUGAAGUUAGUUGCUUUUGUUGAGUCGAUUUUUGGAUUCUAGGAUUUUGUCAAAGAUCAUUUACUCCAAGUGGGUAGAUCAAGUACUACUAGGAGUACAUCCUCCUUAUUGUUCCUUUGCUAGGAGAAAAUGUAGUAUCACCCGUAAAUUGAGACAACUCUUCCUAAAAGCUGGUUAAUGUUUUAAACUUGGUCCCUAAACAUAAUGAUAAUCUCUUUGUUCUUUGUGUUAUUUAUUCUAAUUUUAUAUUUCUAUUAUGGUUUCAAUAUCUUAGUUUUCGUAGGACAUAGCAUUAGAACAAUAUUUUCUAAUUAAUAUCAGAGAUACAUUUCAUUUUAAGGGCUCAGAUCAAUCCUAAUUAAUAUCUCACGGUUGACAUCAAUUUUCUUCCCGCUCAAACACUCUCUCCCUCUCCCACCUACCCAUGGCUCCUUCCCCAUUCCCUCUU